UACGGGGGGGGGCAAGCGUUGUUCGGAAUUACUGGGCGUAAAGGGCGUGUAGGCGGCCAACUAAGUCCGACGUGAAAUCCCCAGGCUUAACCUGGGAACUGCGUCGGAUACUGGAUGGCUUGAAUUCGGGAGAGGGAUGCAGAAUUCCAGGUGUAGCGGUGAAAUGCGUAGAUAUCUGGAGGAAUACCGGUGGCGAAGGCGGCAUCCUGGACCGACAUUGACGCUGAAGCGCGAAAGCUAGGGGAGCAAACGGGG
rnacentral:rRNA from 1 species